ACAUAAGUGUAUAGGCAUAUCUCGGCGGACACGACGACAGGAAUGAACGAAACGCGCGCGUCGUGAAAAUAAUACUGCGCAAAAAGUAUGGAGACUCGAACGCGUCUCUCUCUCUCUCUCCUCUCUUGCUGCUCCUCCUCGUGAUGUUGGUGGUGGUAGCAGCGACAGUAGUAAAGUAGCAGAAAGAAGUAAUGGUGGAGCGGUAACAGUACGUGCACGCUUAUCCGUGGCGGUUUAUCGCACUGUAAUAAAUCAAAGUAAUUAAUAAAAGAAGCGCCCGUGUGGCAACGACGGAGCGCUUUCGCAGGGCGGAGCGAGCUGCUCUCCGUUGUUGACAUCAUGACGAUGGACGAAUUCGCCCGGACCAAACGCUCGGUAAGAGGAAUGAACGAAGUUGUAAAAAGGAAGAAGAAGAUAAGUCGAUACUCGAGUAAUCGAGCACUAAAGAAAUGAAAAACUGAAAAGUGGAAGAAGAUCUACCGUCAUAUUGUAUUAUUUGAAAAUAGAGUUUUGUGAAUGUGUACGUGGACCGUUUUUUGAGUCAUGUUAUGUAAAAAUGAAAGGACCUUCGAUUUGCCACCGACUUGUAUUACUUGCAAAUAAAAGGCCCUCUAAGCCGUUAA